rnacentral:rRNA from 1 species
GAUGAACGCUGGCGGCGUGCCUAAUACAUGCAAGUCGAGCGAACAGACGAGGAGCUUGCUCCUCUGACGUUAGCGGCGGACGGGUGAGUAACACGUGGAUAACCUACCUAUAAGACUGGGAUAACUUCGGGAAACCGGAGCUAAUACCGGAUAAUAUAUUGAACCGCAUGGUUCAAUAGUGAAAGACGGUUUUGCUGUCACUUAUAGAUGGAUCCGCGCCGCAUUAGCUAGUUGGUAAGGUAACGGCUUACCAAGGCAACGAUGCGUAGCCGACCUGAGAGGGUGAUCGGCCACACUGGAACUGAACCACGGUCCAGACUCCUACGGGAGGCAGCAGUAGGGAAUCUUCCGCAAUGGGCGAAAGCCUGACGGAGCAACGCCGCGUGAGUGAUGAAGGUCUUCGGAUCGUAAAACUCUGUUAUUAGGGAAGAACAAAUGUGUAAGUAACUAUGCACGUCUUGACGGUACCUAAUCAGAAAGCCACGGCUAACUACGUG